rnacentral:tRNA from 1 species
GCGGGCGUGAUGGAACGGUAGACAUAGGGGACUUAAACUCCCCAGGGGGAAACCCCGUGCGGGUUCGAAUCCCGCCGCCCGCA